ACGGGUGAGUAACGCGUGGGUAACCUGCCUUAUACAGGGGGAGUAACAGUCAGAAAUGGCUGCUAAUACCGCAUAAGCGCACAGAGCUGCAUGGCUCAGUGUGAAAAACUACCGGUGGUAUAAGAUGGACCCGCGUCUGAUUAGCUGGUUGGCGGGGUAACGGCCCACCAAGGCGACGAUCAGUAGCCGGACUGAGAGAGUGAACGGCCACAUUGGGACUGAGACACGGCCCAAACUCCUACGGGAGGCAGCAUG
rnacentral:rRNA from 1 species